GGGGACGUAGCUCAGCCUGGGAGAGCGCUGCGCUGAAGCUCCUGAAUCACGGAUUCAAAUUCCGUCGUCCCCA
rnacentral:tRNA from 3 species